GGUCCAAUAGCAUAACAGGUCAAUGCCUUCGGCUCAUAACCGAAAGAAGGAGCGGUUCGAGACCGCCUUGGAUCA
rnacentral:tRNA from 1 species